GGGCUCAUAGCUCAACGGCAGAGCAGCAGACUCAUAAUCUGUUGGUUCAAGGUUCGAAUCCUUGUGGGCCCACCA
rnacentral:tRNA from 1 species